rnacentral:lncRNA from 1 species
CGUUCAGUGAGGCGGUCCAAGGAACAGGGUAGAGGAGAGUUUGGCUACGGAGUCGCUAACCAAGUCCUCUGGAGACCAAGCAGGAAGCAGGUCUGAUUUUAUUGCACAGCUACCAUGUACUCAGGCAGUAGCUAGGCAGAUUACAGGCAGCCACCAAUGCAAUUCUGCUAACUGCCCUUGCAGUGACCAGUCAAGGAGUGGGCUGUGGAGCAAGCACAGGGACUGUGCCUACCAGGUAAGCAGCCUGCCACUCAAAGGCUUAGCACAAGGUGAGUGGCCUGACACUCAGACACCCUUAACUUAUGCCAUGUAUGCAGUGCUCCAGGCACUUGUCCCCACAGAGCAUAAGGAGGGACAUCAUGAGGUGAAAAGAAAAACAACCAAAUACACUGCUCACAUUUCUACCCAUUGAAAGGAUUUUCUUUCACCAUUGUCUUUCUGGGAUCUUGACUGUGAUUAUAAAUAUAAAUAGUACCAGAAUACCAUUCAAAACUAUUUGAAUUGGACAUGAAUUUUUCCCUCCUUAGUCAACUUAUUAUAAGAACCUGCCCAGGCUGGGUGUGGUGCCACAUGCCUUUAAUCCCAGCAGCUCCGGAGGCUGAGGCAGGAGAAUCUCAAGUUCAAAGCCAGCUUCAGCAACUUAGCGAGGGCCUAAGCAACUUAGCAAGUCCCUGUCUCAAAAUAAAACAUAUAAAAGGACUGGGGAUGUGGUUCAGUUGUUAAGUGCUCCUGAGUUCAAUCCCUGGGAAGGAAGGAAGAAAGGCAGGGAGGAGAAACAAACUGCCCAAGAGAUCACGAAUACAGACUGAGGAAAAGGAUGCAAAUAAACAAAGAUAAAUUUAUGUAGAGAAGUCAGCUAUCUGUUCAAGAAAAUUAGUUGUAUAAUCUGUCUUCUCUAAUUUAAACUUUCACACAUUUCCACUGAUGAAGGAUUGUUGCAGCACCUCUUCCUCUAUGUAGUAAUGGAAGAAUUCAUGAUCUGCAACUUCAUUGCAGGGUCACUUGAUGUCCCUCAAUCAGACAUUUAUACUUCCCUAUUGCAGCAUUAGAACAAUUUUUCAAAGAACAGUUACUUAUCAAAGAAGUAACGGUUUGCUUCAAAAUCCUAUGGAUCUAUACUGUGAUUCUCUUAUUAAGUCUGGGGAUAUGACUUAAUGGUUUAGCAACUCUGUAUUCAAUCUCAGUUCAAAAAAUAUAUAGCUCUCAAAAAAUUAAGAUAUUGACAAAAUCAGAGGAAAAGUUGGUAAUUAUUGCUAAAUAUAGUGUAAAAAAUAAUCUAAAUAUUAUUGAUGAUUUGGGUAGAUAUGAAAGAAGGGGAGCACUCCUCUUGUCAUAUUAUCUUUGAAGAGCACAUAUUUGAGAAGUUAUAUGUAACUGCAGAUGAGAAGAAUGACAAGAUUAAUCUGGUUUAUGAAAUGAUGGACACUCCUGGAAUGGUCUGCCAAAUCUAUUUGACAGAGUUUCUCAACAAUUUAAAGAAUACCAAAACAGUGGUCAAUCCUAAGAAUUCAUUGCUGUGGGCAAAACCCCCUAAACUACAGUAAAUGGGAAUAUUUUCAUGAUAUUUUACCUAAAUUUUUAGAACUAUAAAUUCUUAUUGUUAUUAAAUGACAAUGUGGAUUAAUAAAUU